AGAGUUUGAUCCUGGCUCAGGAUGAACGCUAGCGGCAGGCCUAAUACAUGCAAGUCGAGGGGUAUAUGGAGCUUGCUUCAUAGAGACCGGCGCACGGGUGCGUAACGCGUAUGCAACCUACCUUAAUCUGGGGGAUAGCCCGAAGAAAUUCGGAUUAACACCGCAUAAAAUCACAGCACGGCAUCGUGUAAUGAUCAAAUAUUUAUAGGAUUAAGAUGGGCAUGCGUGACAUUAGUUUGUUGGUGAGGUAACGGCUCACCAAGACUACGAUGUCUAGGGGAUCUGAGAGGAUGACCCCCCACACUGGUACUGAGACACGGACCAGACUCCUACGGGAGGCAGCAGUAAGGAAUAUUGGUCAAUGGGGGCAACCCUGAACCAGCCAUGCCGCGUGCAGGAAGACGGCCCUACGGGUUGUAAACUGCUUUUAUACGGGAAUAAACCUCUUUACGUGUAAAGAGUUGAAUGUACUGUAAGAAUAAGGAUCGGCUAACUCCGUGCCAGCAGCCGCGGUAAUACGGAGGAUCCAAGCGUUAUCCGGAUUUAUUGGGUUUAAAGGGUGCGUAGGCGGCCUAUUAAGUCAGGGGUGAAAGACGGUGGCUCAACCAUCGCAGUGCCUUUGAUACUGAUGGGCUUGAUUACACUUGAGGUAGGCGGAAUGUGACAAGUAGCGGUGAAAUGCAUAGAUAUGUCACAGAACACCAAUUGCGAAGGCAGCUUACUAAGGUGUUAAUGACGCUGAGGCACGAAAGCGUGGGGAUCAAACAGGAUUAGAUACCCCCGUAGUCC
rnacentral:rRNA from 1 species